GACGAACGCUGGCGGCGUGCUUAACACAUGCAAGUCGAACGAUGAAGCUGGAGCUUGCUCCGGUGGAUUAGUGGCGAACGGGUGAGUAACACGUGAGCAAUCUGCCCUUCACUCUGGGAUAACUGCGGGAAACUGUAGCCAAUACCGGAUACGAGGCUUGGAGGCAUCUCCAGGUCUGGAAAGAAUUUCGGUGAAGGAUGAGCUCGCGGCCUAUCAGCUUGUUGGUGAGGUAAUGGCUCACCAAGGCGACGACGGGUAGCCGGCCUGAGAGGGUGACCGGCCACACUGGGACUGAGACACGGCCCAGACUCCUACGGGAGGCAGCAGUGGGGAAUAUUGCACAAUGGGCGAGAGCCUGAUGCAGCAACGCCGCGUGAGGGAUGAAGGCCUUCGGGUUGUAAACCUCUUUUAGCAGGGAAGAAGCGAAAGUGACGGUACCUGCAGAAAAAGCACCGGCUAACUACGUGCCAGCCGCCGCGGUAA
rnacentral:rRNA from 1 species